rnacentral:rRNA from 1 species
UGAACGCUAGCGGCACGCUUCAUACAUGCAAGUCGAGGGGCAGCAUAAAGUACUUGUACUUUGAUGGCGACCGGCGAACGGGUGCGUAACGCGUAUGCAACUUACCUUUUACUAGAGAAUAGCCAAGAGAAAUUUUGAUUAAUGCUCUAUACUCUUUUUAACUCACAUGAGUUUUUAAGAAAAGCUCCGGCGGUAAAAGAUGGGCAUGCGUCCUAUUAGCUUGUAGGUGAGGUAACGGCUCACCUAAGCUCCGAUAGGUAGGGGUCCUGAGAGGGAGAUCCCCCACACUGGUACUGAGACACGGACCAGACUUCUACGGAAGGCAGCAGUAAGGAAUAUUGGACAAUGGAGGAAACUCUGAUCCAGCGAUGCCGCGUGAAGGAAGACGGCCCUAUGGGUUGUAAACUUCUUUUAUACAGGAAGAAACCUUUCCACGUGGGAAAGCUGACGGUACUGUAAGAAUAAGGAUCGGC